rnacentral:rRNA from 1 species
CCUACGGGUGGCAGCAGUGAGGAAUAUUGGUCAAUGGGCGGAAGCCUGAACCAGCCAAGUAGCGUGCAGGAUGACGGCCCUACGGGUUGUAAACUGCUUUUAUACGGGAAUAACGCGCCUUACGUGUAGGGCUUUGUAUGUACUUUAUGAAUAAGGAUCGGCUAACUCCGUGCCAGCAGCCGCGGUAAUACGGAGGAUCCGAGCGUUAUCCGGAUUUAUUGGGUUUAAAGGGAGCGUAGAUGGGUUGUUAAGUCAGUUGUGAAAGUUUGCGGCUCAACCGUAAAAUUGCAAUUGAUACUGGCAGCCUUGAGUACAGUUGAGGUAGGCGGAAUUCGUGGUGUAGCGGUGAAAUGCUUAGAUAUCACGAAGAACUCCGAUUGCGAAGGCAGCCUACUAAACUGCCACUGACAUUGAUGCUCGAAAGUGUGGGUAUCAAACAGGAUUAGAUACCCUGGUAGUC